GAUGAACGCUAGCUCCAGGCUUAACACAUGCAAGUCGAGGGGCAGCAUGGUCUUAGCUUGCUAAGGCCGAUGGCGACCGGCGCACGGGUGAGUAACACGUAUCCAACCUGCCGUCUACUCUUGGACAGCCUUCUGAAAGGAAGAUUAAUACAAGAUGGCAUCAUGAGUCCGCAUGUUCACAUGAUUAAAGGUAUUCCGGUAGACGAUGGGGAUGCGUUCCAUUAGAUAGUAGGCGGGGUAACGGCCCACCUAGUCUUCGAUGGAUAGGGGUUCUGAGAGGAAGGUCCCCCACAUUGGAACUGAGACACGGUCCAAACUCCUACGGGAGGCAGCAGUGAGGAAUAUUGGUCAAUGGGCGCAGGCCUGAACCAGCCAAGUAGCGUGAAGGAUGACUGCCCUAUGGGUUGUAAACUUCUUUUAUAAAGGAAUAAAGUCGGGUAUGUAUACCCGUUUGCAUGUACUUUAUGAAUAAGGAUCGGCUAACUCCGUG
rnacentral:rRNA from 1 species